AAAGCAGCCAGCGUUAACAUGUGGUCCCCUCCCAUCUCCCCUUAGCAGGGUGAGCGAGGGCGCCCUGUUAGCACGCCCAGCUGGAAACCACCUGGCACCGAACACAAAUCACCUUGAUCCUGCCACCUGAUCCGCCAGCUCAGAGCCUAAGGGAUCAGGUGCCACAGUAUAGGCCAGCAAAGGCAGGGUCCAGCUCCUGCACGGUGCGGCGGUGGCUCUUCUCUGCCAGCAGCAGCUGCCCCAGCAUGCGACGGGGCUUCUGGUAGGGUUCCUGGUUCGGAGGGCCCUUGGACCCGGAGAUCAGGCCAUCCCUCUGCAGGGCCUGCAGGGCCGAGCCAGGCUCCGGGGAGCCGUAGUGGGACUCCAGUCCUUCGGGACG